rnacentral:rRNA from 1 species
GAUGAACGCUGGCGGCGUGCCUAACACAUGCAAGUCGAGCGGCAGCGAGGGGUGCUUGCACCCUGUCGGCGAGCGGCGGACGGCUGAGUAACGCGUGGGAACGUGCCCCAAAGUGAGGAAUAACUGCCCGAAAGGGUAGCUAAUACCGCAUAUUAUCUUCGGAUCAAAGGAUUUAUCCGCUUUGGGAGCGGCUCGCGUCGGAUUAGGUAGUUGGUGAGGUAAUGGCUCACCAAGCCGACGAUCCGUAGCUGGUCUGAGAGGAUGACCAGCCAGACUGGAACUGAGACACGGUCCAGACUCCUACGGGAGGCAGCAGUGAGGAACCUUCCACAAUGGGCGAAAGCCUGAUGGAGCAACGCCGCGUGCAGGACGAAGGCCUUCGGGUUGUAAACUGCUUUUAUAAGUGAGGAAUAUGACGGUAACUUAUGAAUAAGGAUCGGCUAACUACGUG